rnacentral:misc_RNA from 1 species
AAUUACAUUCCAAACUUCAAUCGCGAUUUCCCACAACCUGCCGAAAUUAAUAUACGACAAUCUUUUAACCAGGCGGACGAGAGGUAAAUUGGCGGCCCUGUUGCCAAGUGACAGUGGAAAGUUCGAAAAAUACGAAAAGGAAACAAAACAAAACGAAACUCGAAAAGGAAAGCCUGCAAUAAAACCUGAAACGCGCUAAAUGGUACACAGGGAAAAUUGUAAAAAUCAUUGGUGUUGUGUACGUGCACGUGGGGGGCGUGAAGUUGUUCCAGUACUUUGCUAACUGCCAAAUAGUAGUGGAAGAAUAGUAGCAUAUCUGGUGGAUUUUUAUUCAAAAUGGGAAAAACUAGAAGAAACCGUGUGCGGCAUAUAGCCAAUUCCAAUCCAUUGGGGAUAGCUAGCAUUAAUGAUUUGUUGAAUGGUGAUGAAGAUUCAAUGGAUAAUGGAUUAGGCCCAGUGGAUUCAAUGCGCGAGCAACUACUGACUGCCAAUGUUGAGGAAAAACUAAAUGCUUUACAAUCACUGGCGGUGUUGGUGCAGUCUGGCAAAAAGGACAAACUGGCGGCAAUUUGCGAAAGCGACAUUAUACGCAUAACAGCACCUUACCUGUACGAUCGUGAUCAACCUUUGCGGAAUGCAGCUGCAGGAGCUCUUCGUAACUUCACUGUCUGUGUGCCAGAAGUAUGCGACAUCUUUGUUGAACAGGACGUGCUUACACCACUUUUAGCGCUACUCGGCGAAUACGCACAAGAUGACGAUUGGGUACCUAGUUUUGACAAUGCAAUGGGCGGUCAAUUAGAUAUACGUUCUGAUACAUUUCUGCAAGCCAUAAAUCUCUUAUGGAACUUGUGUGAGAGUUCGAUGGCGGCGCUGGAAUCCUUUAAUCAAACACAAUUAAUUGGAGGUCUCAUUCGCUGUCUAGAUCAUACUGUUUUUGGUUUAGACAUAGCAAUAUCAGUAGCACAGUGCAUGUUGGUUGUCUCAGAAAGCAACGCAAGAGUUUGGAAUGCACUGACACAGCAUAUAAAAGCAUUGCUAAGUUUGCUGGAAAUAACUGGCGGGUUUGGACACCAUUAUCUGCGCAGCUUGGGAGCAGGUAUUCUAUCAAAUGUACCAGCCUUAGCAGCGGCAUACCCCAGCAACAUUCUGAAUUGCUUAGCACAAACUUUGGCUGUGGAUCAACAAGAGGCUUUGUCAAAUGUGCUGAAUGCACGCGUUAAUAACGAACGCAAUGAAUGCAUACCAGUGCUGGAUAUUAAUAUGGAAACCGAAGAGGAAGAGACAGAAGAGGCGGCAGCUUUGCGUAGGCGGCGACAGGAACUGCCAACACCAGCAGAAAUUGCGAUCAAAGAGGUUGGAAAUCUGUUGGAUGCUCAUCGUGUCGCCGCGGAAAUUAUCACAAAUUUAGUGUCAAGUGAUGACGAAGAGUGGGUUGAUUCCGAUGGCGAAGAUGCAUCAGAAGGUGAAGGUGUUGUAGAUUGUGAAAUAGAGAAUGCAAAUAGCAAUGGUGACAUACAAGAUGGCGAUAAGCUUCCCGGAGAAUUAGUGGAAAUGAUAAAAUCAUUAGGAAUUGUGCAAAAGCUUUGGCAAAAAGCGCAAGUUUUACCAGAUAAUGUUGCGCAAUCCUUGCGGGAAGUAAACUUAGGUUUAGUAAUGAAGGCGAAAAAUUUGCGUAUUUCAUCAUUACUUUGCCUGCAAAACUUGUGCAAUGCAUUGAGUCCUAACGAUAUGGGCGGUGCCAAGGCUAUUUACGAUGUCUGGGUAGAACUUGGUCAGCAAGUAUUCAAGGGAGCGCAAGAUGUUGCUGUUAUGGAGCCCGCGACUUCGCUAAUGCGAGCGGCUUUAGAACGUUUAAAAACAAAUAAAGAACUUUUCAAUCAAAUGGCAGAAAAUGACUUGGAGUUGAUCUUCAAUGGCGUAAAAAAUUGCAGUGUAGCUGAAAUACGUGCGAAUUGGUUACGCAUGUUGGGCACAUUGGGUUGUCUGCUGCCUGAAACAUUAGUGCGCAUCAUAAUCACCUUUAUUAUAGACGCAUGCGCUGAGGAAGAAGAUGUUUGGACAAUUUCCGAGGCGCUUGACGCUUUAAUGGAUAUGUUUGCCGAUAACGAUUGGCCAAAAAUGAUUGUUGAGUUGAAUUUACCGGAAGUGUUGAAAAAGUUAGAGAAAAUGUUUAAAAAUAAGAUACGUCAGCAGCGUCGUGAACUGAAAGAUCGUUAUCCAGCUGUGCAGACGGUGCGCAUAAAUUUGACGCGUUUCAUUCGAUAUAUGGAGACAGAGGCGGAUAAGUACGUGAUCAAUUCAUAAGAUUUGAGAAAUAAAUUACUUUUAAAACUGCAUUUAAAGUAAUGCAAAUUUCGGCCCCAUACUAUGUAAAUAGAUAUCUACAUUUUUUAUUUGACAAAAAGAAAAUUCUAUAACUAGAAUUUGAAACCAAUGUUAGUACCUUUAUUAUUCGAAUAGGGUGUUAUGUGAUUCAAUGAAUACCAUUUGAGAACUGUAAUAUAGCCUGUCGGAUUCAGUGUAUGGCGUACGAAUGGCUAAACUUGAUCAUUGAAAUUGCCCCGCUAGCAUCCCAAUAGAAAUUUCUUGCUCGGCACGAUGUUUUACUCCUUAACUCAUACCAAUUCCACAGAGGGUUUUUGAGGAAUCAGCUGGAGUCCUUGGCUAAAUAUACUAGCGUAGAGCGGCAUUCAAGAAAGGAAUUAGAUCUGAGUCUUCCUCGACUGUGUCCUACUAGUCCCCGGCCAUCACUCAGGUGGAACACACUUUAGAAACCACUCGACUAAUCGCCUUUAAUGUGGCUAACAACGUGUUUUUCUCUCCUGCGAAGGGCGACGAUUGCGGUUUUGGUGGCAGAGGAAUAAGCUGCCGGUCUGCUAAGGUUGGAUUUAUAAUGACAUCGACCCGUAUGCCUAAGUUGACCUUGACCUCCUUCAACCAGGUGGUAAAAGGUAUUACUAUUGAUUUCAUAGUUGAAAGGGUUAGGUUAUUAAGGGAUAACCUUAACCUUUCUUCGAAAGAUAAGUCAUGUAGGUCAGUGUCCGAUGCCAAAAUCGAACAUUUAUCGUCGUAUAAGACUAAGGAAAUGCCCUUCAUGGUUUUUGCUACUGGUUGUAGGUGAAGUACCAGGAAAUAUUGCAUUACUGCUCCUACCCAGCCUGACGAAACAUCUCUAACUGUCGGAAGACCAGUAUGGAUACCGAAAAAUGCACAGCACCACUACUGCAUUAAACGCCAUUACCACACAGAUAAGCGGGGGUCUGAACCAAGGCCGACCAUGUUAGAGGACAAUUAUAGUCGCAGUUGACCUUUCGAAGGCAUUCGACAUGCAAUCCUUUGCCAAGAGGUCCAGGACUCGGCGCUUUAA